CAGUUGCUGUUUAUUCUUCUUUUUCGUUUGUUUGUUUAUUCUUUUUAUAGUCUUUUUGUUUCUACUUGGUUGAUUUCCACCCUGAGUUUGAUUAGUUCCUGCUGUCUACUCCUCUUGGGUGUAUUUGCUUCUUUUUGUUCUAGAGCUUUUAGGUGUGCUGUCAAGCUGGUCACAUAUGCUCUCUCCUGUUUCUUUUUGGAGGCACUCAGAGACAAAGACAAACACUACCUCUGAGUAAAAGGCUAGAAAACAAUUUUUCAAGCAAAUGGUUCCAAGAUACAAGCUGGAGUAGCCAUUCUAAUACGGAAUAAAAUCAACUUUCAACCAAAAGUUAUCAAAAAAGACAAUGAAGGACACUUCAUAUUCAUUAAAGGAAAAAUCCACCAAGAUGAACUCUCAAUCCUAAAUAUGUAUGCUCCAAAUACAAGGGCACCUACAUACGUAAAAGAAACGUUACUAAAGCUCAAAACACACAUUGUACCUCACACAAUAAUAGUGGGAGAUUUCAACACCCCACUCUCAUCAAUGGACAGAUCAUGGAAACAGAAAUUAAACAGAGACAGAAAAACUAAUGGAAGUUAUGAACCAAAUGGAUUUAACAGACAUGUAUAGAAUAUUUCAUCCUAAAACAAAAGAAUAUACCUUCUUCUCAGCACCUCAUGGUACCUUCUCCAA
rnacentral:lncRNA from 1 species